CAGGGAGAAUCCCAGGGAAGAAAUAAGGAAUGGAGGGCUCUGAUUCAUAGCAUGGAAGCUGAAAGGGAAUGACAGUCUUUCUGGUUAAUAGGUAAUUCCGGUAACAUCAGUAUAGUUACUGUGUCUACGGAGGCUUCCUGAGUUCCAGGGAUGAGGGUACCUCUGCUCCCCUAGGAUCUGCUGGCUCAUAUGACCCAAGCAGCGAUGCUGCUUCGACUGAAAACUGGACCUGCUGCAGAGUCUUCUCUUUUUCUGGGCUCUACUAAAGCUAGAAACCUUCCAGGUCACCUUAUAAAUGGCUUCAACCAUUGGACCUCAGUGUGGAAUAUUCUGCAAGCAAAACCCAAAGAGUCCUAAAAAGUGGUGUGCUUCUUUCUUACAGGUGGACCUACAAUGACUUCAAAAUAAAAAGUUUAGUAACUCUGGGACAUGGAACCCUUAGUACGGGGUUGAAGAAAGGAUUCCAGCACUGAGCAGAA